rnacentral:rRNA from 1 species
AUUGAACGCUGGCGGCAGGCCUAACACAUGCAAGUCGAACGCGUGGCGGACGGGUGAGUAAUGUCUGGAAAACUGUCUGAUGGAGGGGGAUCACUACUAAACACGGUCGCUAAUACCACAUUCUAUCGGGUGCCCACAGAUGGGUUUCGCUAGGGGGUGGGGUAAAGGCGCCCCUAGGCGACGCUCCCUAGCUGGUAUGAGAGGAUGACCAGCCACACUGGAACUGAGACACGGUCCAGACUCCUACGGGAGGCAGCAGUGGGGAAUAUUGCACAAUGGGCGCAAGCCUGAUGUAGCCAUGCCGCGUGUGUGAAGAAGGCCUUCGGGUUGUAAAGCACUUUCAGCGGGGAGGCGUUACUCGCAGAAGAAGCACCGGCUAACUCCGUGCCAGCAGCCGCGGUAAUAC